rnacentral:rRNA from 2 species
GUGAACUCGAAGAGUAGGGCGGGACACGUGGUAUCCUGUCUGAAUAUGGGGGGACCAUCCUCCAAGGCUAAAUACUCCUGACUGACCGAUAGUGAACCAGUACCGUGAGGGAAAGGCGAAAAGAACCCCGGCGAGGGGAGUGAAAAAGAACCUGAAACCGUGUACGUACAAGCAGUGGGAGCACCUUCGGGUGUGACUGCGUACCUUUUGUAUAAUGGGUCAGCGACUUAUAUUCUGUAGCAAGGUUAACCGUAUAGGGGAGCCGCAGGGAAACCGAGUCUUAACUGGGCGUUAAGUUGCAGGGUAUAGACCCGAAACCCGGUGAUCUAGCCAUGGGCAGGUUGAAGGUUGGGUAACACUAACUGGAGGACCGAACCGACUAAUGUUGAAAAAUUAGCGGAUGACUUGUGGCUGGGGGUGAAAGGCCAAUCAAACCGGGAGAUAGCUGGUUCUCCCCGAAAGCUAUUUAGGUAGCGCCUCGUGAACUCAUCUUCGGGGGUAGAGCACUGUUUCGGCUAGGGGGUCAUCCCGACUUACCAACCCGAUGCAAACUACGAAUACCGAAGAAUGUUAUCACGGGAGACACACGGCGGGUGCUAACGUCCGUCGUGAAGAGGGAAACAACCCAGACCGCCAGCUAAGGUCCCAAAGUCAUGGUUAAGUGGGAAACGAUGUGGGAAGGCACAGACAGCCAGGAUGUUGGCUUAGAAGCAGCCAUCAUUUAAAGAAAGCGUAAUAGCUCACUGGUCGAGUCGGCCUGCGCGGAAGAUGUAACGGGGCUAAACCAUGCACCGAAGCUGCGGCAGCGACACUAUGUGUUGUUGGGUAGGGGAGCGUUCUGUAAGCCUGCGAAGGUG